rnacentral:rRNA from 1 species
AUUGAACGCUGGCGGCAUGCCUUACACAUGCAAGUCGAACGGCAGCACGGGUGCUUGCACCUGGUGGCGAGUGGCGAACGGGUGAGUAAUACAUCGGAACAUGUCCUGUAGUGGGGGAUAGCCCGGCGAAAGCCGGAUUAAUACCGCAUACGAUCUACGGAUGAAAGCGGGGGACCUUCGGGCCUCGCGCUAUCGGGUUGGCCGAUGGCUGAUUAGCUAGUUGGUGGGGUAAAGGCCUACCAAGGCGACGAUCUGUAGCUGGUCUGAGAGGACGACCAGCCACACUGGGACUGAGACACGGCCCAGACUCCUACGGGAGGCAGCAGUGGGGAAUUUUGGACAAUGGGCGAAAGCCUGAUCCAGCAAUGCCGCGUGUGUGAAGAAGGCCUUCGGGUUGUAAAGCACUUUUGUCCGGAAAGAAAUCCUUGGCCCUAAUACGGUCGGGGGAUGACGGUACCGGAAGAAUAAGCACCGGCUAACUACGUG